CGGACCUGACUGCUAUCGGAUUGAUACUAAGCCAUGCGAGUCAUUGUAGCAAUACAAGGCAUACGGCUCAGUAACGCGUAGUCAACCUAACCUAUGGACGGGAAUAACCUCGGGAAACUGAGAAUAAUGCCCGAUAGAACAUUAUGCCUGGAAUGGUUUAUGUUCCAAAUGAUUUAUCGCCGUAGGAUGGGACUGCGGCCUAUCAGUUUGUUGGUGAGGUAAUGGCCCACCAAGACUAUUACAGGUACGGGCUCUGAGAGGAGUAGCCCGGAGAUGGGUACUGAGACACGGACCCAGGCCCUAUGGGGCGCAGCAGGCGAGAAAACUUUGCAAUGUGCGAAAGCACGACAAGGUUAAUCCGAGUGGUUUCUGCUAAAGGAACCUUUUGUCAGUCCUAGAAACACUGAUGAAUAAGGGGUGGGCAAGUUCUGGUGUCAGCCGCCGCGGUAAAACCAGCACCUCAAGUGGUCAGGAUGAUUAUUGGGCCUAAAGCAUCCGUAGCCGGCUCUGUAAGUUUUCGGUUAAAUCUGUACGCUCAACGUACAGGCUGCCGGGAAUACUGCAAAGCUAGGGAGUGGGAGAGGUAGACGGUACUCGGUAGGAAGGGGUAAAAUCCUUUGAUCUAUUGAUGACCACCUGUGGCGAAGGCGGUCUACCAGAACACGUCCGACGGUGAGGGAUGAAAGCUGGGGGAGCAAACCGGAUUAGAUACCCGGGUAGUCCCAGCUGUAAACCAUGCAAACUCAGUGAUGCAUUGGCUUGUGGCCAAUGCAGUGCUGCAGGGAAGCCGUUAAGUUUGCCGCCUGGGAAGUACGUACGCAAGUAUGAAACUUAAAGGAAUUGGCGGGG
rnacentral:rRNA from 1 species